rnacentral:tRNA from 1 species
UAAAGUUUAGUUUAUAAAAACAAAUGUUUUGAAAACAUUAAUAGAAGAAUUUCUUCAACUUUUA